UGCUAAAGAAUUUUUUUUAACUUGCCUGUGUGCACGAUGCCUUUAAACAGGCCUAUCCCUGAUUGCUGUACUCCAGCACUGUAACCCUGCUCAAUGUUUUUGUCUGGUCUAGCUUCGGAUGGCCAGUGUAUUUCACAGCAUGAGGGAGAUCUUAUCAAGGCAGGUGGAGAUUAGGAACAGCAAGCCAACCUGCUCAAAAAAACAGAUAUGAAUCUGGAGAGACACCCUCUCCUCAUGAAAGCAGAGCCUGCAGAUACAGGUUAAAAUAUGCAAGCUGACUUCUUCAAAAAGAUUAAACCCCUUUGGCUGCUGUGGGCUGAGCGGUGAUUCCAGACUGCAAACUGCUCGUCAGUCAGGGCGAGCGCAAAGCCUGCACUGCAGCUGCCCAAGCAGUAGCCCAGGAAGAGCAACGUUCACAGCGUGGCAGCUGGAUGUGGAGAUAAUCAUGUGGAUAUGGGCACUGACCUCUCUGCGAGGACAGAUAAUAGAGCAAAAAAAGAGGAAGAUGCCAAGAAGAUACUUGAUUUCUUUUGGUAAUUGUGACUUGCAGUUUGUUAUCAUGCUCAAAUGGAGCAUCAACGGGCUUUGUUUUGUUGUGAAUUUUUAGGGAAAAUUGAUAACAUCAGCGCUUAGCUAUCUCCUAUUACCACCGUCUUGGUUCCUAACACAACAGCAACUAAUAACUCAGACCUGAUGGGCUCCUCAUGACCAUUUGGGUCAAGGUCUGCGGUAACAGAAAAUGAUUGCGAAAGAAAGAGCAACUGAGAGUAGGCUGUCCUAGGCCACGGGACUCGCCUGCUGGACAACUGACGGUGCUCGCUACAGAGACGGUGCUGCCCUUCGCACCCCCCGCCUGCCGAGGACCACCACGAGCCCAGCCAUUGCACGUUCCCUGGGAUACGGGAACUUGCUCACUUCGGCCCCUGCUUUCUCUCCAGCGCCAGGGAGAAGUUCCUCUGCCUUUGAAAGACUGAAGUGGCUACCUCAUUAGGCCUUGAUUAUCCUCCAGCAAUUGCUUAGAUUUCUACCCUAUUACUGAUCUGCCUUUUUUAGCAGAGGUCGUGGAAUGGGCAGUGGCUGUCUUGUCUUCGUUAUAAUGCAUCAUUUGAAACUUUUCAAUUAAGCUUCAGAUCAGGCCACAGUACUGAGACCGCUUUAACGAGGAUCUGCUUUCAAGGAACACGAGACGAGGGACUUCGAUGGUCCCAGCCUGAAGCCUAGCAAAUGUUCAACUGCAUCACACAAGUCAGCACAGCUUCGCGACGGACGACCUUCCUCCCGAGAGCGCCACGCUUGGCAUACUGCAUUGCUGAAACCAGCCUGCAUGGGAAAUAGAGAAGAUCUCUGAACACACUUACCCUGGUAAUAAACUCUAUUCUUCGGACACCUGAGUAAAGCACUCCCCAGUCACUGGAAACAAUCAAUGAGGAAAAAAGUUAUUUAGCAAUCAAUUUAUAGGAAAAGGGAUUCACAGUGUUCAGAAUAUUCCCACUGAUAAUGCAUCUGGUUACCUGUUUUAUUAUUGAGCCCAUACAAUACCACUUACUUCGGACCUUACCACAGCAAUGCGUAAGGCCCAGCACUGUAUCUCUGCUCUUUCCUAAUCCCAUCCAUCUGCUGGUGCCCAUCCUAUAGUAUCAGGCUGCUUUUUCUGAAUCAUAUUUAAAAAUCAGUGCUGUAAAUUGUACUCUUAAAAAAAAAGGCCAUAGAAAAGGUGUGAGCUGAAUGCAUAAUAAUUUUUUGAAUGAAUGGAGCCCUUAAUAUUUAGUUUUGCCUAAUGAAGUAAGGAAUGAAUGUAAAAGGAUUAUUAUUCCCGUAACGUUCAAUUCACACACACAGUGUAAUUCAUAGAACCUGGCUUUAAUUUUUUUCAUAUAAAUAAUUAAUGCUGCAUUUAAAGCAUGCUAAAAUGUUUUAUUUCUUAAUCAGCUAAUUUGACUGAGAAACAAAGAUGCCUUUAUUUUCAUUUUCCUUGACUGGAGUUACUGUAGUAAAAGUUCCCCUCUAGCUUUGGCCUUCACUCUCAAGUUUGCUGCUGCCAAUUAGUCCUCUAAAGUCACUAUUUUACAAAAUGUUUCUCACUUUUAAAAAAAUGUAAUUGAAUGUCUGUACAUCACAGAGUUUCUUGUGUUCAGACACAGGGUGUUAAACAUUCUUUGAGUUGACUUGGGUCAGCUUUAAAAAAAUCUCAGACACUGAAACUUGAGAUGCAGUCGUGUGCUAUAGUGUUUUCUCCACAUCCUGUUAAGCAUUAAGUGGUUAUUUAAAAUGGAGUUGUUAUACUCAGCAACUGACUUAAAGUGCUCGAUAUAGUUUACAAGACGAUUAAUUAAAUGAGAGCAUUGCAUGUGAUGCACAUGUAUUUCCAUAAUCAUUCACAUUGGCCUAUAGUUGCCCUUUAAUUUUCAUACUAAUUAAAGUAACACAUUGAACUGCAAAUUGUAAAUGGCUGCAUUUCUCAGUAGAUGUUAACACUGAUGUAAGCUGAAUGGUGAAUAAAAAACCCCAAGAAUUAAGCAGAGUGUUUUUUGACUCUCAUCCAUUCAAGUUUCCCUACUCAUUCCAUUACUGGACCGUGUCCAUAUUUUAACAAGACUGCAUUUUUCUGUGUUUUCAGCCCCAUAUUUUUUCUGAGGUACAACGAGCUUUUUUUCUUUAUUGUGAUGUCUAGUUAGUUGGUUUCCAUUUGACACAAUAGUGCGGUUGUACAAGGCUCACAGUUACAUAUUAGUUUUUUUAAGUGGUGGUGGGACCGAGCUUUAUAAUCUGAUGGGCAGAAAGAAAUAAAACCGAAAUGCACAGCUA